GUGAGCUUCGGACGGAUGCUUCGGGGUGCCUGGCGGACGGGUGAGGAACACGUGGGGAGUGCCCUUUGGUGCGGAACAACUCAUGGAAACUUGGGCUAAUACGGGAUGUGCCCUUGUGGGGAAGGAUUUAUCGGCAUUGGAGCGGCCGUCGUCUGGUUAGCUAGUUGGGGAGGUAAAGGCUCACGAAGGCGACGAUCGAUAUGUGGGCUGAGAGGAUGAUGAGCGAGUUUGGGACUGAGACACGGCCCAAACUACUACGGGAGGCAGCAGUGGGGAAUCUUGCGCAAUGGGCGAAAGCCUGACGCAGCCAUGCCGCGUGAAUGAUGAAGGUCUUAGGAUUGUAAAAUUCUUUCACCGGGGACGAUAAUGACGGUACCCGGAGAAGAAGCCCCGGCUAACUUCGUGCCAGCAGCCGCGGUAAUACGAAGGGGGCUAGCGUUGCUCGGAAUUACUGGGCGUAAAGGGAGCGUAGGCGGACUGUUUAGUCAGAGGUGAAAGCCCAGGGCUCAACCUUGGAAUUGCCUUUGAUACUGGCAGUCUUGAGUACGGAAGAGGUAUGUGGAACUCCGAGUGUAGAGGUGAAAUUCGUAGAUAUUCGGAAGAACACCAGUGGCGAAGGCGACAUACUGGUCC
rnacentral:rRNA from 1 species